rnacentral:tRNA from 2 species
UCCCCGGUGGCUCAAUCGGCAGAGCGGGUGGCUGUUAACCACUAGGUUGGCGGUUCAAGUCCGUCCCGGGGAGCCA